UACGUAGGUGGCAAGCGUUGUCCGGAUUUACUGGGCGUAAAGGGCGUGCAGGCGGUCUGUUAAGUCUAGGGUGAAAGCUCCCGGCUCAACUGGGAGAGGUCCUUGGAUACUGGCGGACUUGAGGGAGGCAGAGGAGUAUGGAAUUCCCGGUGUAGUGGUGAUAUGCGUAGAGAUCGGCAGGAACACCCAGGGGGAAACCAGUGGACUGGGCAGGAGCUGACGCUCAGGUGCGAAAGCGUGGGGAGCGAACCGG
rnacentral:rRNA from 1 species